rnacentral:rRNA from 1 species
UACGGAGGGUGCAAGCGUUGUCCGGAUUCAUUGGGUUUAAAGGGUGCGCAGGCGGGACAUUAAGUCAGGGGUGAAAGACGGUUGCUCAACAAUCGCAGUGCCUUUGAUACUGGUGUUCUUGGGUAACCUUGAGGUAGGCGGAGUGGGUGGUGUAGCGGUGAAAUGCAUAGAUACCACCCAGAACUCCGAUUGCGAAGGCAGCCUACUGGAGGUCAACCGACGCUCAGGCACGAAAGCGUGGGGAUCAAACAGG